rnacentral:rRNA from 1 species
AACGAACGCUGGCGGCAGGCCUAACACAUGCAAGUCGAACGGGUGUAGCAAUACAUCAGUGGCAGACGGGUGAGUAACGCGUGGGAAUCUCCCCAGAGGUACGGAACAACUCAGGGAAACUUGAGCUAAUACCGUAUGUGCCCGAGAGGGCAAAGAUUCAUCGCCUUUGGAUGAGCCCGCGUUGGAUUAGCUAGUUGGUGGGGUAACGGCCUACCAAGGCUACGAUCCAUAGCUGAUCUGAGAGGAUGAUCAGCCACACUGGGACUGAGAC